rfam:Methanoregula formicica SMSP chromosome, complete genome.
GAUUGCGGCCAUAGCUGUCGGGAAACACCUGGUCUCAUUCCGAACCCAGCAGUUAAGCUGACACACGUAGUAUGCUGUACUGAGGUACGCGAGUCCCCGGGAACCAUACCAAGCUGCAAUCA